CCUCCGCCGCUCUCUCACGGACUCCCCUACUGUGGUGAUGGAAGAGGAGGGGUC
rnacentral:misc_RNA from 1 species